UAGCAGAAUUCAGUGAAUCAUCGUAAUCUUUGAACGCACAUUGCGCCCCUUGGUAUCCCGAGGGGCAUGCCUGUUCGAGCGUCAUU
rnacentral:rRNA from 1 species